GGACAUGACCCACGUAGAGGGCCUGACAGACGGCCGCACCACCUGCCUGCACCCCCGACCUUGGGAGCCUGAUCUUGGAAAUGGUGAUAAAAAGAAGGUUUACUGCAUCACCCUUCGUUCCGCUGACAACAUUCACAGUAACUCAACAGCACGCCGCCUCUGUGGGCAAGAAAAGGCUCACACUGGUGGCAGGUUGGCGAUUUACGGGGCAGCUUGAAGAAUCCAAAAGGUGCGCUGGGCUGACACCAACCCUCUCACUGCCCUGCAUCUUCCAGGAGGAGAUGGAAGCGAAACAGAGAUCACCUGGGACAGAGUCACAAGGUCAAAUCAAGGACAUCAUAGGACCCCGGAGGGCCAUCGAGGACUCCAGAUGAAAAGACCCCUCUCGGAGCCACCUGAGGAAGCCCCUCCCAGCCUCCACUCUCCACCGGGAGCAAGUCUGUCCCAGAAAGAGACACCCUGAAAUUUGCUGAGCUGAUGGCUCAAAGACUACAUUUCCCAGCCUCCCUUGCAGCUAGUGGUGCCUCUGCAACUGCCUCCCAGCCAACAAUGAAAACAGAAGCGUCACAGCCAGCUUGUGGAAACUGUCCUUAACGGACACCUGGCCCACCUUUGUCCCUUCCUUUAUCCCGCUGUCUGGAAACCGGGGUAGCAGCUGGACUCCAGCUGCCAUGUUGAUCCACGAUGGCAGGACCUCACCCCAGGGAUGGUGGAGGGGGGUCAGCUGGAAGGACCUGGGUCCAAGGCCUUCCUGAAGCAAAGCCUCCACGCCAGCCCUGGUCGCCCACCCUCCAGACUUUAGCGUGAAGCACAAUAAAUAAAAUGCCAUGUUGUUUGAGCCGCUGCCACCCUGGAUCUCUGUUAUGCCUGAACAAACCUGAAUCCUGACCCCCUUUUCUCACUGAACCACUCUGCCGUAAAACAGCAGGUGCAACAGAGGUGAAUUUGAAAGCCAGCUCUCCUGCCCUCCAGCCAUGUCACCUCGGUCGGUCGAGCCCUCUCACCUCUGUUUUUCCACCAAUAAGAUGGGAACGGUGUCCCUGACCUCCCAGGACUAUUCUAAGUGGUAACACACAGCCAGGGCCACACCUGUCAGGUUACCUGGCCCACACGGUCCAGAAAAUGUCCUCUAUCCGGCCUGAGCAAUCAGGAUACUUCACAGUCAAAAUAAACAGACGCACACAAAGAAAGGCUUUUUGGUUUCUCUUAAAAGCUGUGGCAGAUCUGGCAGCCCUGGCUGGGGCCGAGUUCCCCCAGCACCCCCUCCCCCCUCCCACUCCCUUCACUUAUCCCCGGGGUCCACAGGCUUCCAAAUAAGUAUUUUAGUUUUUGCAAGACACACGAGCAUCGGUUAAAUAUUCUU